ACGGUACCUGAGGAGGAAGCUCCGGCUAACUACGUGCCAGCAGCCGCGGUAAUACGUAGGGAGCGAGCGUUGUCCGGAAUUACUGGGUGUAAAGGGAGCGUAGGCGGGAUCGCAAGUCAGAUGUGAAAACUAUGGGCUUAACCCAUAAACUGCAUUUGAAACUGUGGUUCUUGAGUGAAGUAGAGGUAAGCGGAAUUCCUAGUGUAGCGGUGAAAUGCGUAGAUAUUAGGAGGAACACCAGUGGCGAAGGCGGCUUACUGGACGGUAACUGACGCUGAGGCUCGAAAGCGUGGGGAGCAAACAGGAUUAGAUACCCUGGUAGUCCACGCCGUAAACGAUGAUUACUAGGUGUGGGGGGACUGACCCCUUCCGUGCCGGAGUUAACACAAUAAGUAAUCCACCUGGGGAGUACGACCGCAAGGUUGAAACUCAAAGGAAUUGACGGGGGCCCGCACAAGCAGUGGAGUAUGUGGUUUAAUUCGACGCAACGCGAAGAACCUUACCAAGUCUUGACAUCCUGCGACGCACAUAGAAAUAUGUGUUUCCUUCGGGACGCAGAGACAGGUGGUGCAUGGUUGUCGUCAGCUCGUGUCGUGAGAUGUUGGGUUAAGUCCCGCAACGAGCGCAACCCUUACGAUUAGUUGCUACGCAAGAGCACUCUAAUAGGACUGCCGUUGACAAAACGGAGGAAGGUGGGGAUGACGUCAAAUCAUCAUGCCCUUUAUGACCUGGGCUACACACGUACUACAAUGGCGUUAAACAAAGAGAAGCAAGACCGCGAGGUGGAGCAAAACUCAGAAACAACGUCCCAGUUCGGACUGCAGGCUGCAACUCGCCUGCACGAAGUCGGAAUUGCUAGUAAUCGUGGAUCAGCAUGCCACGGUGAAUACGUUCCCGGGCCUUGUACACACCGCCCGUCACACCAUGAGAGCCGGGGGGACCCGAAGUCGGUAGUCUAACCGCAAGGAGGACGCCGCCGAAGGUAAAACUGGUGAUUGGGGUGAAGUCGUAACAAGGUAGCCGUAGGAGAACCUGCGGCUG
rnacentral:rRNA from 1 species